rnacentral:lncRNA from 1 species
UUUAGUUUAUUUAUUAUGUUUAUAUGUUACAGUUAAAUAGUGGCAAUUAUGUAAAAUUUAGAAAAAAUAGGACAUAAUAUAUAUCAUAAUUGAUACAUUUUAAAUGUCUAUUAGAAAGGAAUAUUAUGUGGGUUUUAUUUAAAAUCACUCUUCAAAAUUGGGUGUAUAUGAAAAUCCCCCUAAUUACAACCCUUUAUAUUAAGAGAAAGACCCUUUGAUUCCAAAUGAAAGAAAAUAAAGAGUGGGAUGUGUGUUUGUUUGUUUUUGCGGCUGCACCCGGACAUUUGAAUGGGUUGCCUACGUACCCUUCGGAAGGGAUCAAGCCACUCGUAGUUCAAGAAUCCUACCCGAACAUUUUUUUUUUUGGUAUUUUCUUGUGUGAAGUAGCCAAUGUGGUUAGGAAAUUGAAGUUGGUCUUUUUGCUGGAAACCGUUCAUUGGUAUUGAGCAUUUGGUGAUCUCUUCUAAUUUUUGUGUUCAUCUAAAACUCCAGAUUUUAAAAGGCUCAACUCCAUCUUGGUUCUUGGUAUUCAGCAUUUGGUCUCUUCUAAUUUGUGUGUUCAUCUAAAACUUCAGAUUUUAAAAGGCUCAAUUCUGUAGAUGAUUUCUCUUUUAGGAACUUUUUUUUUAACUUUUUUUUUCUGAGUUUCUGAGUUAAAAUGAAGAUUUUCAUUCGUGAAAGCUACUAAGAAGCAUUACAAUCAAGUUUCAGUACAUCAGCAAUGCAAGUAGGAGGCUGAGAUAGCCAAAUAAUGCUGCAAUUCCACAUUACAUGUUCUAGGCAGCAGCAUUCUGAUGUCAUCUGUCACACCGGCUUCAGCCAAACCAUCAUAGACAUUAGACUUUAUUGAAUUCACAGCUUCCUGACAGUGAGUUUCAAUCACAAUGUGUUGCAGACACAUAGUUUGCGGUAAUUUUAGCCCUUUCUUUAACACCCUGCAAUUCCACUUGGUUA